rnacentral:snRNA from 1 species
GUGCUUGCUUCAGCAGCACAUAUACUAAAAUUGGAACAAUACAGAGAAGAUUAGGAUGGCCCCUGAGCAAGAAUCUGGAAAAAUUGUAUCAUGGAGAUAUAUUAGGGAUGAUUUUUU